ACGGGGGGAGCAAGCGUUGUCCGGAUUUACUGGGCGUAAAGGGCGCGUAGGCGGCUUGAUAAGCGUGCGGUGAAAGCCCGGGGCUCAACCCCGGGUCGGCCGUGCGAACUGUCGAGCUGGAGCACUGUAGAGGCAGGUGGAAUUCCGGGUGUAGCGGUGGAAUGCGCAGAGAUCCGGAAGAACACCGGUGGCGAAGGCGGCCUGCUGGGCAGUGGCUGACGCUGAGGCGCGACAGCGUGGGGAGCAAACAGGA
rnacentral:rRNA from 1 species